rnacentral:ncRNA from 1 species
UACCUGGUUGAUCCUGCCAGUACUAUAUGCUUGUCUCAAAGCCUAAGCCAUGCAAAUGUAAGAUCAAUCAUAUGCGGUUUCGGCCGUGUAUAAUGAUAGUCUGUGAA